AACGAACGCUGGCGGCAUGCCUAACACAUGCAAGUCGAACGAGACCUUCGGGUCUAGUGGCGCACGGGUGCGUAACGCGUGGGAACCUGCCCUUAGGUUCGGAAUAACUCCCCGAAAGGGGUGCUAAUACCGGAUAAUGUCUUCGGACCAAAGAUUUAUCGCCUUUGGAUGGGCCCGCGUUGGAUUAGCUGGUUGGUAGGGUAAAAGCCUACCAAGGCGACGAUCCAUAGCUGGUCUGUGAGGAUGAUCAGCGACACUGGGACUGAGACACGGCCCAGACUCCUACGCGAGGCAGCAGUGGGUAAUAUUGGACAAUGGGCGGAAGCCUGAUCCAGCUAUGCCGCGUGAGUGAUGAAGGCCGUAGGGUUGUAAAGCUCUUUUACCCGGGAUGAUAAUGACGGUACCGGGAGAAUAAGCUCCGGCUAACUCCGUG
rnacentral:rRNA from 1 species